CAACAGAGUGGGACUCUGUCUCAAAAAGAAACCCCUAAAAAACAAAAAACAAAAGAAAAAACCCAGCUGCUCCCUUCUUCCAUAAACUCCAGAGCCCAACAAGAUCUGUUCUGCUCCAGGAAGUCAGGGCAACCCCUGGGACAUGCCAACACCUGCUGAGCAUGAAACUCUGCUCCAGAGAGUUAGCUCAGCGGGAAAGGCAGACCAACAAGGCAGCUGAGGCCCAGCGAGAGAAGAAGUGAACAGAGGGAGGCAUGAGGAGUGUCCUCUCCCUCGUCUAAGGCAUCUGGAAGAAGGCGCUGGAAUAUCUGAAAUGGGCUACCUAACAACACAGUGUACUUCCCGUUCAAAGUGGUUCAAGGUGGACUGAAGAGACCUGGAGUGGGUGAGGAGUCAAAGUGAGUGGGUAAGGCAUCUGGGACACGUGACGCUUGCCACACCUAGUGGAUGGCUCUGCUUGGACGACUGCCAGGCCCUUCGAACGGAAUUGGCCAAGCCUGUGCGUCUCCCAGUCUGCCCUGUUUCAAACAAAAGCCCCAUGAGAUCCAGGAUGUCACCUGUCUGUGCACAGCUACCUCCCCAGGGCCUGGGUUAGAGUGAACACUGAAUAAAGAUUAUUACAGUUGGGGGAAUGAAUGGGGGACACACCGAGGCUCAGUGGCAAAGCUGGGCUCUGCACCCAGGUGUGUGACACCCCUAAGUCUGUCUCCUUCCCUCGGCUGCACAAAGGAGCAAGGGCCCUGAGGUUCCUUCUGAGAUACUCAUCCUAAGGGUCAACCUACCUCUUCUCAACAGCCACUCACGCACAGUGUCAGUGACAUCAAAAGACAGCCACUCAGCAGUGCCCCGCGUGGGCAGAUUCUUGCCACCAAUAUAGCGCUGUUUGGCGAUGUGCUCAUCCGGCCGCAGUAUCUACGGGCAGAGAAAGGAUUUGGUACCCAAGGGCAAGACAGAGCACCACCAGACGUGGCACAGUGCGGGCCAGGUGGGGGCAGCCAGAGGAACUACAGGUUCCUGCACCGUAACUCUCAGUCCUCUUAGCAACAGAUACGGAAACUGAGGCUCAGAGAAGCCGGGAUUCAAGCCCCGGUCUGUGGGCCUCUGUGCCCAGCGCAGGCCGGACACAGCAAGGGAACUGGCUUCUCACCUGGAAGAGCUCGAUCCUCUGCUCGUUGCGCUUGGAGCUGGGGUUGGGCACCCGCAGGACCCGGAAUUCUGCUCGGAACAGGUUGGUUCCAUUUUUCUCCACUGAGGACACGUUGAAGCGGAAGACCUUGGAGGUAAUUCCUUUGGGGCAGACGGCCAGCUCAUCUAGGAGAGAGAGCGUGGGGAGGGCACAGCAUGAGUGUGGCCACAGGAACGGUGCGCUGCCGCCGACACGCACCAAGUCGCCUGCCUGGAGGCUUGAGCCCUCAAACUUAAAGGUGGAGAUAGGAGGGAGCUUCUUGGGGACCCUAGAGUCACACAGGGUCCUGAGCAAGGAGCAGUGGGAGCUCAGAGCCCCAGGACGUGGCCCGAGAGACUGGCCCGUCAAAUGUAACUGUCCUCUCCUCCCCUUGCCUCUCCAGCCUGUUUACUCUUAGAAAACACAGAUUCUCAGAAGAUGCGAGCAAUGCCCCUAGUAGUUGACAUGUCGUAUGGCUAGUUAAUCCAUUCGUGUGUGUGCUCAUUCGGACACUCGUUCACUUGCCAAGCGUGUACUGAGCAAACACUAUGUGCCAAGCACAGCGAUGACCCUGGGGGCAGACAGUGAGUAGACACAGCCUCUGCGUCGAGGGGACUCAUUUCCAGGGAAGUUGUUGAUACAUGGACCCAACUGACAGGGCCAGAGAGACAGGGUCUUUGCAGAAGGCCAGGAGUUGCUAUAGGAAAUCGACGGAGGGGGAGAGCAGGGAGUGCUUCACGGAAGAGGCGAUAACCGAUCUGGGCCCUGCAGGAGGAGGGUUUGAGGGGGAGGAGGAAAGAACUUGCACACGGUGGGGCUGCCGGAAGCAAAGGCAGGGAGGGGAGAUGUGCUCUGAGGCUGCAAGGCUGGGCUCCCCUGUAUGGAGGCCCACACGUCAGACCAAAAGGUUGGAUUUUACCCUGUUGCUGGGCAUGGUGGCUGAAUGCCUCUAGUCCCAGCUACUCAGGAGGCUGAGGCAGGAGGAUGGCUUGAGGCUA